AUCGUAUUAAUAAACAAGUACAUAACCUGUCCAUCUAUGGGUUAUGUUAUAAGUAAGGCUUUUAUUUCUACAUGUCUUACAUUAUUGUUUCAUUUAUUUACCAUUUUGUCAUUUAUUUACUUAUUAUAUGGUGGAUUUAUUCCUCAUAGUGUACAUGCUUGAAUUUAAAUAAAUGAGUAGGAAAUGUGUUAUCUCUGAUUAAACGUAUUCAAGACAUGCCAUGCUUGUCAUGUGGUUCAUAUCUGUCAAAUGAUUGUCAAUAAAGUUUUGAGCGUUUUGAAACAUCAUGGCGGCGUACACGGCCCAGGCAGCCGUCAGACACUCAAUAUUUGUUUUUCUAAGAGACAGUUUUCUGACUUCAGAGAAAAUGUGCCGACUGUCAGCCAUUUGCUCUGGAAACGGUUACGCUGGUUGGAGGACCUGCAGUUCAUCCGCAUCCUCCUGCUCCCCUGAGUCUCCAGCAGCAGAUACUUGUGCCGUCAGUGGACACUAUGGUCGCCUUGUUCAGAGUGGCUCUCUGAGGAAAGAUGCUCAGCAAAGACAUGUUCUCCAGCAGCUGUCUCAGCUGCAGCACACCCUGAAGAACUACAGUAACAACAAUCAACUUUCAAAAGAUGAUAAAGACCCCCACUUUACAACAGCUGAAAACAAAGAUGGUGGAUCUGAUACCAAGAAGGAACCCUCUCCACCACCCAAAGGCGUCUACAUCUAUGGAGAUGUUGGCACAGGGAAGACCAUGCUCAUGGAUAUGUUUUAUUCCCAUGUGGAGAACACUCGUAAAAAGAGAGUCCACUUCAAUGGCUUCAUGUUGGACAUCCACAAAAGGAUCCAUCGGAGGAAACAAAGGCUGCCAAAACGCGGGCUAGGGAAAAUGUUCACCUACGACCCCAUAUCACCGGUUGCCAUGGAGAUCAGCGAAGAAACUUGCCUGUUGUGUUUUGAUGAGUUUCAGGUGACCGACAUUGCUGAUGCCAUGAUCCUGAAGCAGCUCUUUGAGAUGCUGUUCAAGAUCGGAGUGGUGGUGGUGGCCACUUCCAACAGACCCCCUGAUGAUCUGUACAAAAACGGACUUCAGAGGGACACCUUCCUACCUUUCAUCGACGUGCUAAAGGAGUACUGCCACACCAUCUGCCUAGACUCUGGGAUCGACUACAGGAGGCUGGACAACGCUGGAGCGGGGAAACUCUACUCCAUCACGGGGGAGCCUGGUGCGGAGGCCUUCUUGGAUGUGCUGUUUGAGGAGCUGGCCUUAAAACAAAAGAGUGUUACAGGCCCUCGGGUGCUCACAGUUCUGGGCAGAGACGUGACUCUGGAGAAGACCUGUGGCUCCAUCGCUGACUGUAGUUUUGACGAGCUGUGUGGCAGACCCAUGGGUGCCAGUGACUACCUGGAAAUGGCACGGCUCUUUGACACCGUAUUCAUUCGCCAUGUUCCCAUUCUGACACUGACCCUGAAGGACCAGGCCAGACGCUUCACCACCCUCAUAGACAACUUCUACGACAGCAAGGUGCUCCAUCUAAUUGGAAAAACUAAAAUUGGGCUUAAAGUAGACAAAAGCAAUAAAUCAUAUCACAAAUGCAUUCAUGUGUGAAGGUUUGAAGGUUUGAAGCUCAAGAAAGUGGUGGAGCAGGAAUUUUCGAUUUCUAUAUUAUCCUGUGUGCAAUGCACACAUCAAUUGAGAGGAUGAUGAUCAAGAUGGUGCUUUGGAUGGCAGCCUCGGUGUUGCGUUUUUUUGCAAAUUCACCCAGCUCACUGUGCCAGCCUCCACCUGUCAGUGGAUUACAAACUUCCUGAACGACCAGUGGCAGCAAGUGAGGCUCAUGAAAAUCACAUCCAGCACCCAGACAAGCAGCAGUGGGCACCGCCCAAGGAUGUGUGCGCUCCCCACUGCUGUUUUCCCUUUACACCAACGACUGCACCUGAGGAGGCCCGUCUGGUAAAUUCCUGAAAGCUGACACAGCGGUCAUCGACCUCAUCUGGAACGGUGACAAGUCUGCAUACAGAUGCUCAAGACCUGGUCCCAGCCUUCAUUCAACAGCCUUGCCAGUAUCAGGAAAAUGGGCUGGUAACAUCACUGCAGGCCCUUCACACCCUGGUGGCUGAGGGAUCUAAGCGCCGACCAUUAAACACAAUGUGCCCAAUGUGACGUUGCGUCGGGCUGGGGAGUUUUGUUCUAUGUCAUUGUCCAAUCUCUCUCCAUCCAUCCAUUAUCCGUAACCGCUUAUCCUGUUCAGGGUCGCUGGAGCCGAUCCCAGGUGACAAGUUAGAAGCCAGCCUCAUAUUGGCUCACUUCCUAUAAACUGUAGAUAUACUCUAUAUUUGAUUCUGCAAGAUAAAGUCAAUAUGUACAUAAAUGCAAUACAACACAUCAAAUUGACCAGAAAUAUAAGUACUGUAAUUUUAAGGAGGCAAUGAAUGAAUGGGUUAACUGCUCUCAUUUAAUAUUGAUCACUUAAUCUUUAAUGAUAGAGGAAGUAACCUUCAUAAAUAAAGUGGACAUCCUGUGUCUCUUUUAUUCCCCUUUGUGUCCCAGGUGAGAGUGGUGCUGCUGGCAGCUUCUCCUUUAGAACGGCUGUUUCUCCACACUGGAGGGGACGAUGAGAGGGACAGACAACUG